rnacentral:tRNA from 1 species
GGGGUUUUAGCUCAGUGGCAGAGCGCCGGACUUUUGUCCGGAGGUCGCGGGUUCGAUUCUCGCAGACUCCUCCA